rnacentral:misc_RNA from 1 species
CGAAAUGCGAUAAGUAAUGUGAAUUGCAGAAUUCAGUGAAUCAUCGAAUCUUUGAACGCACAUUGCGCCCGCCAGUAUUCUGGCGGGCAUGCCUGUUCGAGCGUCAUUACAACCCUCAGGCCCCCGGGCCUGGCGUUGGGGAUCGGCGGAAGCCCCCUGCGGGCACAACGCCGUCCCCCAAAUACAGUGGCGGUCCCGCCGCAGCUUCCAUUGCGUAGUAGCUAACACCUCGCAACUGGAGAGCGGCGCGACCACGCCGUAAAACACCCAACUUCUGAAUGUUGACCUCGAAUCAGGUAGGAAGACCCGCUGAACUUAAGC